CAGUUUUUCAGCCAAGCCUGUUUGUCUAGGGGCAUUCGGCCCCCCUGGCCCUCUUUUUCCUACCAAGCAAUCUCGAGCAGGGUUCUUGGACCAUUCCUGACCUACAGCGCAGCCAGGGAUGACCACUGAGGGUCUGAGUCCUCAGUGAAGAAUGCCAGUUGCCACAGAAGCCCAUUCUCUCCUUGUAGGACAGCAGAGAGCCUUCUAUCCCAACACUCCACUUCCCAGCACCCUUGCCAGGUGUGGCCAGUGGGAGCAAGAGCCCAAACAAGGUCACCCAAGCACGAGGGCACCAGGGCACGGUAAGUUCUUUGUGCCCCAUUUCUCGUGUCCUGGAUAGAUAGUGAGAUGCGGCCUGGCUGGAAGCUGAAGAGGAAGUGAGUGGUCCCUAAUGGAGAGCAAAGCAACAGUGUUGAGAAGAACCCGAGUCCCCACGUGACAGAUGGAGGAGAGCUGACUGCACUCUGACUGCUGUUUCUGCUGUCAUUUCCAUGACGAAUAAACUGUUUCCCAGGC